UACGAAGGGGGCUAGCGUUGUUCGGAAUUACUGGGCGUAAAGCGUGCGCAGGCGGCUAUCCAAGUCAGUGGUGAAAGCCCGGAGCUCAACUCCGGAAUUGCCAUUGAAACUGUUUAGCUUGAGGACGAGAGAGGUGAGUGGAAUUCCCAGUGUAGAGGUGAAAUUCGUAGAUAUUGGGAAGAACACCGGUGGCGAAGGCGGCUCACUGGACCGGUAUUGACGCUGAGGUGCGAAAGCGUGGGGAGCAAACAGG
rnacentral:rRNA from 1 species